rnacentral:rRNA from 1 species
UGACCUCAAAUCAGGUAGGACUACCCGCUGAACUUAAGCAUAUCAAUAAGCGGAGGAAAAGAAACUAACAAGGAUUCCCCUAGUAACUGCGAGUGAAGCGGGAAAAGCUCAAAUUUAAAAUCUCGACGGUCUAGCGGCCGUCCGAGUUGUAAUCUGGAGAAGCGUCUAUCCGCGUCGGACCGUGUCCAAGUCUUCUGGAAGGGAGCGUCAUAGAGGGUGAGAAUCC